AUCUUGCGCAUGGGCGAAAGCCUGACGCAGCGACGCCGCGUGAGCGAGGAAGGCCUUCGGGUCGUAAAGCUCGAUAGUGUGGGAAGAAGGGAUGACGGUACCACACGAAAGCCCCGGCUAACUACGUGCCAGCCGCCGCGUUAAU
rnacentral:rRNA from 1 species